GACGAACGCUGGCGGCGUGCUUAACACAUGCCAGUCGAACGGUGAAGGGGUCUGCUUUUGUGGGCCCUGGAUGAGUGGCGAACGGGUGAGUAACACGUGAGUAACCUGCCCCCUUCUUCUGGAUAACCGCAUGAAAGUGUGGCUAAUACGGGAUAUUCUGGGUCUGUCGCAUGAUGGGUCUGGGAAAGAUUGCGCCUUUGGGUGUUUUUGGUGGGGGAUGGGCUCGCGGCCUAUCAGCUUGUUGGUGGGGUGAUGGCCUACCAAGGCGGUGACGGGUAGCCGGCCUGAGAGGGUGGACGGUCACACUGGGACUGAGACACGGCCCAGACUCCUACGGGAGGCAGCAGUGGGGAAUAUUGCACAAUGGGCGCAAGCCUGAUGCAGCGACGCCGCGUGAGGGAUGGAGGCCUUCGGGGUGUAAACCUCUUUCGCCAGUGAAGCAGGCCUGCUCCGUGUGGGUGGGUUGACGGUAGCUGGAGAAGAAGCGCCGGCUAACUACGUG
rnacentral:rRNA from 1 species